rnacentral:rRNA from 1 species
UAGCCGUAAACGAUACUCGCUAGGUGUCGGCCACGGUGCGACCGUUGUCGGUGCCGUAGGGAAGCCGUGAAGCGAGCCACCUGGGAAGUACGGCCGCAAGGCUGAGACUUAAAGGAAUUGGCCGGGGGAGCACCACAACGGGUGGAGCUUGCGGUUUAAUUGGAUUCAACGCCGGAAAUCUUACCGGGACCGACAGCAACAUGAAGGCCAGGCUGAAGACUUUGCCGGAUUAGCUGAGAGGUGGUGCAUGGCGUAGUCGUGU